rnacentral:lncRNA from 1 species
AAGGCCACAUUCUGAAGUCCUGAGGUUUAAGGCUUCAACAUAUGCAUCUUGGAAUAUGCAAUCCAAUCCUUAAUGGGAGGGCUCAGCCUCUGCAUCAGUCUGGGAAGAUGGAGACAGGCCAGGAAUGCAGGGGCACCCUCUUUGAUGGCUGGGGUCUGCAUGAAACUCAGAAAAGGUAAAAAUCUCCCAUUUCAAAUGGGACUAAAAUAAUGAAUGAGGCAGCUCACAUAGCACCCACAUGUCCCAGGGAUCUUAAUGUGCUUUCUGCUGCUACAAAGUAUCCCUGAGGCAGAGUGACUUAUAAACAACAAAGACAUGCUUACAUAUCUGGAGGCUGGACAUACAGGAACAUGGGGUGACUCCUGGUGAGGCCUUCUUAAUGCCCACCAAGUGGCAAAACAACCCAUUAGGAAGGGCUCAUAUAAACACACACACACACACACACACACACACACACACACACACACACCACACACACCACACACACACACACACACACACACACACACACACACACACACACACGCAUCUCUGCUGGUAGGGUCGAAAUUUCUGUUUGGAAAAUGUUAGCUGCUGUUAGAUCAGAGGCCUGAAAAUUAGGAAGUCAGUCCAACCUAUAGGUGGCCAAUGGCCUCUGCCUGCCUGUCCUUUAGCCAUAAAAACCAACCAGCAGGCCAAAGGGAGGUCAUAUAGCAGUGUCUGGAAUUCCCAGAUAAUUCUGCUGUGUAUGUGCCAGGGCAUGUGUAUGGAGAUCAGAGGACAACUUGUAGGAAUUGGUUCUCUCCUUUCACCGUGUGGGUCCGAUGGAUUGAACUCAGAUCAUCAAGCUUGGUCUCAAACACCUUUGCCUCCUGAGCCAUCUUGCCACCCUACGAUUUACUUUUACAGGAAAGUCACUCCUGUGAUAUGACCUGGGUGUAAGACCCAUCUCCUCUCAGGAGUCCUGCCUUCCACACUGCUACUCUUGGGGCUGACUUUAUAAACACUUCAGCUUUGAGAGAACCAGACUGGGGUUUUCCCCUUGGGCAGAGCUGGCUCUGCAGGCUUGAAGGGUCUGUGCUAUUAGGGUCUGAAUUUCCAUCUGAAAGAUGUUAGCUGCUGGAUUUGAGGUCCUGAAAACUAUGAAACCAAUCCAGUCUGUAGGUAGCCAAUGGUCUCCACCUCUCCAUCCCCCAGCCCUAAGGACAAACAGGCCACAGAAAGUUCAUAGAUUAGUGGCUGGAAUGCACCGAUAAGGUGCCUGGAUGGCGAGGCCCUGUGACAGACAUAGGAACCAGUGAAAACCUCUUAAGAGGUGUCAGGACAGAAGUGGCAUAACUCUGUCACCUGCCAAAUGCAUUCCCAGCCACUUAUCAACAGAGCACUUAGGAGGGUCCCAAGGAAGCAAAGUGCAAAAGGAGAGAGAGAGGAGGCUGAAGAAAAAGCAGGCAGGUGUCCUGCCCAGUCUGCUGAACAAUACUCACUCUUCCUGUUGCCCCCUCCUCAGGACUGGGAUAGAGUAAGCAAGGCUUUGCCUCCACUGGACCAUGUGGAUAAGAAAGGGCUCCCUGCAGUCAGGCAGGCUUGCAAACACAGGUCUACCUCUAGAUGAUACUCUACAGCUUCUACUAAGUUUCCCAACACCCUAAGGCUCUCUUGCCUUUCUGCACUUCUCCUGUAAGACCUCAUAGUGAGAUUUCCGAGGUCACUCAUUGCCCAGUGCUGGGAAAUAGGGCACUGGCUCCUUUCUUUCUAUCUCUUGGGUCAGCAAGCUUCAAAGAGAGAGUCUCUACCAUGUUGUGGCUGCCUCAACUUGGCCCAGUGACACUUUAGCCCAAGUCCCGGGACUUUGGGAUCUGGCUAUCACAUUCCCCAUCAUUCCUUUAUAGUCCCUUUGGUUCCCUCCCAAAAGCCUCAGUCCUUCCUCUGGUGCUGCCUCUCAGGAGAACCCAUGACCCACCCCAGCAUAGCUGGGAACAUCAACCGACUCUUCGACUGGUUCCAAAUGCCCAGAGCACAGAGGCAGGAUUAGAGAGAGCUGAUGGAGCAGGGAGACAAGAGCGUCCAGCAGCUAGGAAUGGAGACAGAUAGAGACAAGCUCUAGAACCACAGACUAGGGGAGCACCACAUGUGGGACCCUGGACAUGGCUGGGGAGCAAAGGCUAACUAAGAGUGUCCAAGGCCAUGACCUUGAAGCAUCAAGAACUAGUUCCACCAUGUUCAUUGAGCACACUUGGAAGCACAGAAGAUUUCCAUGCAAAGCAAUUGAAAGCAGUCCACGGACACUAAAGGGACCAUGAAUUCUGGACAUUGUGGGAGACAUAGCUACUCUCAGGUCUAUGGACCAGAGUUGCAAGGAGUAGCCUUACUCACCUCUACCCUCAGCCCUUUUCUGUCAUUCCAGGAGGCUAUAGCUUGCUUGCUCAACACUUCCUGAUGAGUGGUUUGGGUUUAGUUGGUUUUUGGUUUUUUGUUUUUUUGUUUUGUUUUGUUUUGUUUUAACUCUUCUUCUGUUGCAGCAACAUAGG